UCCACCCCCUUCUAUUCAACAUUUACACUUUCCACCGACCUUUCCUUCUGUAACAAUGGCGACCACGAGUUGACACGGGCCCAUCCCCACUUCUCCUUCGCACAAACUUUUUCCCUGUAAAUUCAUCUCGAAUUCCGUAGAAUUGUCCGGUGUUAAUUUGGUGCCCUAAUUUUCCGACGCAGCGAAAAAAGUGAGGAAAAAAUCGAUUGCAAAAAAAAGAAGAUGACGAGAGGAAAACAGAAGAUCGAGGCACAGAAGAAGAAUGCAGAGAAGAAUCAGAAGGGCAAAGGCUCGCAGAUCGAGGCCCGCGCUGUUGGCCUCAAAGUAAUCUGCCCCAUUUGUAAAGUUCAGCUAGCAAAUCAGAAUCAGCUUAUUGAUCAUUAUGGAUCGAAGCAUCCGAAAGAGAAUCCUCCACCAAGCAACUCAUAAUAAUUAGCAACAAACAGACUUUUGCUUCUUCUAAAUAUACAGCUGUUUCUUUUGUCUCUGUUGUUAUGAAAUGUAAUUAGAUCAGAUGGAAGUGUUCUUAUGUUUCUGUGUUUUGUGUAAGAAUUUAACUUUGUGAGAAGCAGAUUAACAACUUUUUUUAAAUCAGAUUGUGCUUUGGUUAUUUGGCCAAAAAA